CACUAUCGUUAACUGAAUACAUAGGUUAACGAGGCGAACCGGGGGAACUGAAACAUCUAAGUACCCCGAGGAAAAGAAAUCAACCGAGAUUCCCCCAGUAGCGGCGAGCGAACGGGGAGCAGCCCAGAGUCUGAAUCAGCUUGUGUGUUAGUGGAACGGUCUGGAAAGUCCGACGGUACAGGGUGAUAGUCCCGUACACCAAAAUGCACAGGCUGUGAACUCGAAGAGUAGGGCGGGACACGUGGUAUCCUGUCUGAAUAUGGGGGGACCAUCCUCCAAGGCUAAAUACUCCUGACUGACCGAUAGUGAACCAGUACCGUGAGGGAAAGGCGAAAAGAACCCCGGCGAGGGGAGUGAAAAAGAACCUGAAACCGUGUACGUACAAGCAGUGGGAGCACCUUCGGGUGUGACUGCGUACCUUUUGUAUAAUGGGUCAGCGACUUAUAUUCUGUAGCAAGGUUAACCGUAUAGGGGAGCCGCAGGGAAACCGAGUCUUAACUGGGCGUUAAGUUGCAGGGUAUAGACCCGAAACCCGGUGAUCUAGCCAUGGGCAGGUUGAAGGUUGGGUAACACUAACUGGAGGACCGAACCGACUAAUGUUGAAAAAUUAGCGGAUGACUUGUGGCUGGGGGUGAAAGGCCAAUCAAACCGGGAGAUAGCUGGUUCUCCCCGAAAGCUAUUUAGGUAGCGCCUCGUGAACUCAUCUUCGGGGGUAGAGCACUGUUUCGGCUAGGGGGUCAUCCCGACUUACCAACCCGAUGCAAACUACGAAUACCGAAGAAUGUUAUCACGGGAGACACACGGCGGGUGCUAACGUCCGUCGUGAAGAGGGAAACAACCCAGACCGCCAGCUAAGGUCCCAAAGUCAUGGUUAAGUGGGAAACGAUGUGGGAAGGCACAGACAGCCAGGAUGUUGGCUUAGAAGCAGCCAUCAUUUAAAGAAAGCGUAAUAGCUCACUGGUCGAGUCGGCCUGCGCGGAAGAUGUAACGGGGCUAAACCAUGCACCGAAGCUGCGGCAGCGACACUAUGUGUUGUUGGGUAGGGGAGCGUUCUGUAAGCCUGCGAAGGUGACCUGUGAGGGUUGCUGGAGGUAUCAGAAGUGCGAAUGCUGACAUAAGUAACGAUAAAGCGGGUGAAAAGCCCGCUCGCCGGAAGACCAAGGGUUCCUGUCCAACGUUAAUCGGGGCAGGGUGAGUCGACCCCUAAGGCGAGGCCGAAAGGCGUAGUCGAUGGGAAACAGGUUAAUAUUCCUGUACUUGGUGUUACUGCGAAGGGGGGACGGAGAAGGCUAUGUUAGCCGGGCGACGGUUGUCCCGGUUUAAGCAUGUAGGCUGGUUAUCCAGGCAAAUCCGGAUAAUCAAGGCUGAGGUGUGAUGACGAGGCACUACGGUGCUGAAGUAACAAAUGCCCUGCUUCCAGGAAAAGCCUCUAAGCAUCAGGUAACAUCAAAUCGUACCCCAAACCGACACAGGUGGUCAGGUAGAGAAUACCAAGGCGCUUGAGAGAACUCGGGUGAAGGAACUAGGCAAAAUGGUGCCGUAACUUCGGGAGAAGGCACGCUGGUGUGUAGGUGAAGUCCCUGCGGAUGGAGCUGAGACCAGUCGAAGAUACCAGCUGGCUGCAACUGUUUAUUAAAAACACAGCACUGUGCAAACACGAAAGUGGACGUAUACGGUGUGACGCCUGCCCGGUGCCGGAAGGUUAAUUGAUGGGGUUAUCCGUAAGGAGAAGCUCUUGAUCGAAGCCCCGGUAAACGGCGGCCGUAACUAUAACGGUCCUAAGGUAGCGAAAUUCCUUGUCGGGUAAGUUCCGACCUGCACGAAUGGCGUAAUGAUGGCCAGGCUGUCUCCACCCGAGACUCAGUGAAAUUGAACUCGCUGUGAAGAUGCAGUGUACCCGCGGCAAGACGGAAAGACCCCGUGAACCUUUACUAUAGCUUGACACUGAACAUUGAGCCUUGAUGUGUAGGAUAGGUGGGAGGCUUUGAAGCGUGGACGCCAGUCUGCGUGGAGCCAACCUUGAAAUACCACCCUUUAAUGUUUGAUGUUCUAACGUUGGCCCCUGACCGGGGUUGCGGACAGUGUCUGGUGGGUAGUUUGACUGGGGCGGUCUCCUCCCAAAGCGUAACGGAGGAGCACGAAGGUUAGCUAAUCCUGGUCGGACAUCAGGAGGUUAGUGCAAUGGCAUAAGCUAGCUUGACUGCGAGCGUGACGGCGCGAGCAGGUGCGAAAGCAGGUCAUAGUGAUCCGGUGGUUCUGAAUGGAAGGGCCAUCGCUCAACGGAUAAAAGGUACUCCGGGGAUAACAGGCUGAUACCGCCCAAGAGUUCAUAUCGACGGCGGUGUUUGGCACCUCGAUGUCGGCUCAUCACAUCCUGGGGCUGAAGUAGGUCCCAAGGGUAUGGCUGUUCGCCAUUUAAAGUGGUACGCGAGCUGGGUUUAGAACGUCGUGAGACAGUUCGGUCCCUAUCUGCCGUGGGCGCUGGAGAAUUGAGGGGGGCUGCUCCUAGUACGAGAGGACCGGAGUGGACGCAUCACUGGUGUUCGGGUUGUCAUGCCAAUGGCACUGCCCGGUAGCUAAAUGCGGAAGAGAUAAGUGCUGAAAGCAUCUAAGCACGAAACUUGCCCCGAGAUGAGUUCUCCCUGAGACUUUAAGUCUCCUGAAGGAACGUUGAAGACGACGACGUUGAUAGGCCGGGUGUGUAAGCGCAGCGAUGCGUUGAGCUAACCGGUACUAAUGAACCGUGAGGCUUAACCUU
rnacentral:rRNA from 1 species